GGUGAACGCUGGCGGCGUGCUUAAGACAUGCAAGUCGAACGGGCUCUUCGGAGCCAGUGGCGCACGGGUGAGUAACGCGUAACUGACCUACCCCAAAGUCGCGGAUAACGAUUCGAAAGAAUCGCUAAUACGUGAUGUGCUGUCAGAUCCUGUUCUGCCAGUAAAGAUUUAUUGCUUUGGGAUGGGGUUGCGUUCCAUCAGCUAGUUGGUGGGGUAAAGGCCCACUAAGGCGACGACGGAUCGCCGGCCUGAGAGGGUGGCCGGCCACAGGGGCACUGAGACACGGGUCCCACUCCUACGGGAGGCAGCAGUUAGGAAUCUUCCACAAUGGGCGAAAGCCUGAUGGAGCGACGCCGCGUGAGGGAUGAAGGUCCUCGGAUCGUAAACCUCUGAAUCAGGGACGAAAGACGCGAAAGCGGGAUGACGGUACCUGAGUAAUAGCACCGGCUAACUCCGUG
rnacentral:rRNA from 1 species